ACCCACUCAAAAUCUCUAUCUAUCUAUACUCAUUCUGCAUUAUCAUAAGCUCAUCAUCAUCUAUCUCUUUCUUCUUUUGGUUGAAGAUUCCUAAAUUUGGAUAUGAAAUUAUUAUAAUUGGAUAUGGUUUAGUAUGGGUAUAGAAAAAGAAGCUGAGGCUAAAAUACAAGGGGCAGUGAAGCUUUUAAAGUUCACUGGUUGUUCCAAAUUUCCAUUUUCAUUGUAGUCGCAGAAACAGAAAACCAAACAAUCAUCAAUCUUCAACCCUUUUGCAGGUAAAUUCAGUUACCCUUUAUUGUUUCUGAGGUUUUUUCUCUUUUUAUUUUUAUUUUUUUAUAUUUUACAUGCUUAUUACACAUCAUGAUGUUGUAUCAAAGUUUGAAACUUUGUUCGUUUUUGAGCUCAAUUUGAUUUGAUUUGGUUUGCAACACGGCACAACAUUCUCUAAUUGUUCCUUAUUGUUUUGUUUCUUGAGAAUAUCGCUCACCAUGGCUUCUGAGCUUCCUAAUUACUGUGCAAUUUCUGGGCUUUGUUGGAAAAUUAUUCAUGUUGAGUCAUAAUUUGAAGAGGAAAAGGGUUUAGAACUGUGGAGUGUGUCACUGCUCAUUCUGGCUCUCCUGAACGAUGUAAUACCUCUAAAAUACAGCACAAUUUGAAGUCAAUUUCAAGUUAAUAGAGUCACCUUAAGUUGAGUGUUGGAGCAAGAAACAAAGAUGUUGGAGCAAGUUCUUGGGAUGAAACUCACACAAGAGACCAAGAAACUAAGGCAGGCUUGUUUUAAAGUUAAUUACAAAAGGAAGAAAUUUUUGGCCUCCAAAUCUUAUUCAUCAUCACUUAGCUAAGCUACUUGUCUUGUAUUAGAUGAAAAAGACAGCACUUAUUAGAUGGUUUAAAUACAUUAUUAGAUAUUAACAUAUUUUAGGGACUGGAAGGGGUAGAUUUGACUGAUUAGUGUUUAUUGCAAUGUUUGUAUUUUGGUAAGUUUAGUAAGACAAGGUUUUGUAUAGGAGUUAUUACUUUUGAUUUUCAAUAAUAAAAAUUACAUAUUAUAUUAA